rnacentral:rRNA from 1 species
GAUGAACGCUGGCGGCGUGCCUAACACAUGCAAGUCGAACGGAGAUUACGGACGGAAGUUUUCGGAUGGAAGACUGUAAUUCUUAGUGGCGGACGGGUGAGUAACGCGUGGGCAACCUGCCCUAUACAGGGGGAUAGCAGCUGGAAACGGCUGGUAAGACCGCAUAAGUCGGUUAAAUCGCAUGACUUGAUCGGGAAAUGAGCAAUCAGGUAUAGGAUGGGCCCGCGUCCGAUUAGCCAGUUGGCAGGGUAAAAGCCUACCAAAGCGACGAUCGGUAGCCGGACUGAGAGGUCGGACGGCCACAUUGGGACUGAGACACGGCCCAAACUCCUACGGGAGGCAGCAGUGGGGGAUAUUGCACAAUGGAGGAAACUCUGAUGCAGCGACGCCGCGUGAGUGAAGAAGUAUUUCGGUAUGUAAAGCUCUAUCAGCAGGGAAGAUGAUGACGGUACCUGACUAAGAAGCCCCGGCUAACUACGUG